UGGGGAAUAUUGCACAAUGGGCGCAAGCCUGAUGCAGCAACGCCGCGUGAGGGACGACGGCCUUCGGGUUGUAAACCUCUUUUGGCAGGGAAGAAGCGAAAGUGACGGUACCUGCAGAAAAAGCCCCGGCUAACUACGUGCCAGCAGCCGCGGUAAUACGUAGGGGGCAAGCGUUGUCCGGAUUUACUGGGUGUAAAGGGCGCGCAGGCGGGAUAAAAAGUCAGUGGUGAAAUCCUACAGCUUAACUGUAGAACUGCCUUUGAUACUUUUAUUCUUGAGUUCGGGAGAGAGAGACGGAAUUCCAGGUGUAGUGGUGAAAUACGUAGAUAUCUGGAAGAACACCAGUUGCGAAGGCGGUCUCUUGGUCCGACACUGACGCUGAGGCGCGAAAGCGUGGGGAGCAAACA
rnacentral:rRNA from 1 species